GGACAAAUUUGUUCAUCAAAAUUUCGCAUGAAACGAAAAUCCAUAAAAAAUUUUAAAUCCAGAUAUUUCCGAAAAACUGGAGUACAUUAAAGGAGUUGGCGAAUGAAGUUGUUCUCCGCGGGUUCAUUGACCUUCCCGUCCGCGAUGUUGGGGGAUCAUUAAGAUCCAUUGAACGAAGUCCACCCAAACGAUUAGGAAUCGAAGGGAUAAAUAGCAAUAAUCAAGGUGCAAUGAAAUGUGCGACAAAAAAAAAAAAAAAAAAAAAAAAAGUCCACCAAAACGAUUAGAAAUCGAAGUGAUGAAUCGCGAGAAUGAAGAGGAUCAUCAAGGUGCCAUGAAAUGUGAAACAAAUAGAUAUCAUAGGAUCAUCAAAGUCCAAUGAAAUGUGCACCAAAACGAUUAGAAAUCGAAUGGAUGAAUCGCGAUAACGAUGAGGAUCAUAAAGGUGCAAUGAAAUGUGCAACAAAUAGGAAUCGAAGGAUGGAAGUGUGCAAAAUAGGAAUCGAAGUGAUGAAUCGCGAAAAUGAAGAGGAUCAUCAAGGUGCAAUGAAAUGGGCAACAAAUAGCAAUUGGCUGUAUAAAAAUUCUUUUGUACCCCAACUUUGAACACCAUUAAUAUCAAAUGAUUUAGCUUAUAUUUAUGAACGCGGACUGCAUAAAGAAUCAAUACCAACGAUCAUCGAUGGGCAACAAAUGCAUUUUCCCCGGUGCAUUUUCUGUCGUGGGCCGACUUGAGGCAUUAUAAUUAAUUGGAAAUCGGAGUCGAUCAAUCGGAUGGCAACCGCAAAAUUAAUAAGCAUGAAUGAUGCCGACGACGCGAGUGUUCGCAGUAAUUGUGGAUGCGCCUGCACCCGUACUCGAGCUCAUAGUCAAAGUGGAGCAGACCAGACCAGAUCAGACCAAGCCAACCCAGGCCAACCCAGGCCAACCCAGGCCAGAGCUGACGGGCUAAUCAAAUUGCUGGCAAUCAUGGAGCCGUAUAAGCAAAUGUAGCAAUUUCAGUCAAACACCGAGAGAGCCGGCAACUUGAUAUGGCCAAGCUGCAGACGGCAACAACCACUUGUGGCUGCGACGCGAUUUGAUUCGAUGCGAUUCCAUUCCAUUCGAUUCGCCUUAACUGAACUCGACUUGGGCUGGCUGUGGAAAC